rnacentral:rRNA from 1 species
UCGAACGGCAGCACGGGAGCAAACCUGGUGGCGAGUGGCGAACGGGUGAGUAAUAUAUCGGAACGUGCCCAGUCGUGGGGGAUAACGUAGCGAAAGCUACGCUAAUACCGCAUACGAUCUAUGGAUGAAAGCGGGGGAUCGCAAGACCUCGCGCGAUUGGAGCGGCCGAUAUCAGAUUAGGUAGUUGGUGAGGUAAAGGCUCACCAAGCCGACGAUCUGUAGCUGGUCUGAGAGGACGACCAGCCACACUGGGACUGAGACACGGCCCAGACUCCUACGGGAGGCAGCAGUGGGGAAUUUUGGACAAUGGGCGCAAGCCUGAUCCAGCAAUGCCGCGUGCAGGAUGAAGGCCUUCGGGUUGUAAACUGCUUUUGUACGGAGCGAAAAGGCUCCCUCUAAUACAGGGGGCUCAUGACGGUACCGUAAGAAUAAGCACCGGCUAACUACGUGCCAGCAGCCGCGGUAAUACGUAGGGUGCGAGCGUUAAUCGGAAUUACUGGGCGUAAAGCGUGCGCAGGCGGUUAUGUAAGACAGAUGUGAAAUCCCCGGGCUCAACCUGGGAACUGCAUUUGUGACUGCAUAGCUAGAGUACGGCAGAGGGGGAUGGAAUUCCGCGUGUAGCAGUGAAAUGCGUAGAUAUGCGGAGGAACACCGAUGGCGAAGGCAAUCCCCUGGGCAUGUACUGACGCUCAUGCACGA